GACGAAGGGGGCUAGCGUUGUUCGGAAUUACUGGGCGUAAAGCGCGUGUGGGCGGUUGUUCAAGUCAGGUGUGAAAGCCUUGAGCUCAACUCAAGAAAUGCACUUGAUACUGGAUGACUAGAGGACCGGAGAGGAUAGUGGAAUUCCCAGUGUAGUGGUGAAAUACGUAGAGAUUGGGAAGAACACCAGUGGCGAAGGCGGCUAUCUGGACGGUUUCUGACGCUAAGACGCGAAAGCGUGGGGAGCAAACAGG
rnacentral:rRNA from 1 species